rnacentral:rRNA from 1 species
AUUGAACGCUGGCGGCAGGCCUAACACAUGCAAGUCGAACGAGUGGCGGACGGGUGUGUAAUGUCUGGGAAACUGCCUGUUGCAGGGGGAUAAUUUCUGGAAACGGUAGUUAUUCCCGCAUAGCAUCACUUUUGCCCAGAUGGGAUUAGCUUUUUGGUGGGGUAAAGGCUCACCAAGGCGACGACCCCUAGCUGGUCUGAGAGGGUGACCGGCCACACUGGAACUGAGACACGGUCCAGACUCCUACGGGAGGCAGCAGUGGGGAAUAUUGCACAAUGGGCGCAAGCCUGAUGCAGCCAUGCCGCGUGUAUGAAGAAGGCCUUCGGGUUGUAAAGUACUUUCAGCGGGGAGGCGUUACCCGCAGAAGAAGCACCGGCUAACUCCGUGCCAGCAGCCGCGGUAAUAC